rnacentral:lncRNA from 1 species
GAGCUGUGCUUCUGAGAACGAGGGAAGGAUCAGAAGUCCUGAGUCGUUUGCAUCGCCUCCCAAAAGUUUACUUGAAGUGAAGCCCCUCCUGGUUUCAUACUCCAUGAAGCAAACCAGUCCCGUCCGUCCCCGUGUGUCCAGUUCCCAGAGGAUGCGCCUGGGGGCUCUGGGAAGUUCCCUCCUCGACGCUGUUCCGAAGGCCUCCCAACCAUUUCUUUUUUCUUUUUUUUUUUUUUUUGAGACGGAUUUUGCCCUUGUCGCUCAGGCUGGAGUGCAGUGGCGCCAUCUCGGCUCAUUGCAACUUCCGCCUUCAGGGUUCAAGCGAUUCUCCUGCCUCAGCCUCCCGAGUAGCUGGGAUUACAGGCGCCCGCCACCAUGCCCGGCUAAUUUUUGUAUUUUUAGUAGAGACGGGGUUUCACCAUGUUGGCCAGGCUGGUCUGGAACUCCUGACCUCAGGUGAUCUGCCCGCCUGGGCCUCCCAAAGUGCUGAGAUUACAGGCGUGAGCUAUCACGCCCGGCCCCAACCAUUUCUCUUUGAGGGCAGCGACUCCCUUCCUUACCUCCAUCUUAAGCUCCAGGAUUACUUUUUGCCAUCUGCUGUAUAUUUUUACUCUGAUGAACAACCAUUUCUGUAAAUUUC